GACGAACGCUGGCGGCGUGCUUAACACAUGCAAGUCGAACGGAAAGGCCUGCUUUCCCUUGUGGAUUGCGGGGACGCGAGGGGCGAACGGGUGAGUAACACGUGAGUGAUCUGCCCCCAACUUUGGUAUAAGCCUGGGAAACUGGGUCUAAUUCCCGCUAGGUCCGCAGGGUGGGGCCUGUGGUGGAAAACGUUGUGCUAGGGGUUGGGGAUGAGCUCGCGGCCUAUCGGCUUGUUGGUGGGGUAAUGGCCGACCAAGGCGGCGACGGGUAGCCUGCCUGGGAGGGUGGGCGGCCCCAGUGGGACUGGGCUCCGGGCCAGAGUGCUACGGGCGGCAGCCGUGGGGAAUAUUGCACUGUGGGCGGAAGCCUAAUGCAGCGACGCCGCGUGGGGGAUGGCGGCCUUCGGGUUGUAGACUCCUGUCGAGCGCGAGGAAGCCACCUGGUUGGAAGGGUGGUGACGGUAGUGGUAGAAGAAGCACCGGCUAACUACGUG
rnacentral:rRNA from 1 species